ACAUGCAUGUAUAUGUUAAAGAAGAAAGUAAAGCAAAUAUAGGCAGUCUUUCUAUAUAUAUGUUAAAGAAGAAAAUAAAGAAAAGCUAAGGAACAAAGUAAAAGGAGGAGGAAGGCAUUCAAACCAAGUGAAGCUAGAUACUAGUUCAUCAUCUCUUAAUUUCAGUUUAGUUAGGUAGCUGCUGCAUAUAUAAUGAGCAGGCAUUGUAGCAGGGCACUAAUUAUAUUAUUAGGAUGCCUUUUCUUCUUCUUCUUCUUCUUCAUUGUUGGUGAUGUUCACAAAGCAACAACUGUCUCUAAUAUCCAUCCAAAGAAGCUGGUGCCAAGUUUAGGCAUGAACAAAAGAAGAGUUCCCAAUGGACCUGACCCUAUUCAUAACAGGAGAUCAGGAAACUCUAGAAGACCCCCGGGGCAGGCAUAGAUAGUCAUGUCAAACCGCAGAAGAUGGAACUAGUCUUUAAACUAACAAAGAGUAUCUAGCUACUGGUAACAUAGAUAUUUGUUAAAUGAUUUGAAAUUUGUGUAACUAUUGAUUUGUAUGAUAUAAAGUUAGCAAUAAGUGACUUUGGAAUCAACAAGUGGUAGAAAAAAAAAGUUGAUGGAAA